rnacentral:rRNA from 1 species
UCGAGCGCAUCCUUCGGGAUGAGCGGCGGACGGGUGAGUAACGCGUGGGAAUGUGCCCUUCUCUACGGAAUAGCCACUGGAAACGGUGAGUAAUACCGUAUACGCCCUUAGGGGGAAAGAUUUAUCGGAGAAGGAUCAGCCCGCGUUAGAUUAGGUAGUUGGUGGGGUAACGGCCUACCAAGCCCACGAUCUAUAGCUGGUUUUAGAGGAUGAUCAGCCACACUGGGACUGAGACACGGCCCAGACUCCUACGGGAGGCAGCAGUAGGGAAUCUUGGACAAUGGGGGAAACCCUGAUCCAGCCAUGCCGCGUGAGUGAAGAAGGCCUUAGGGUCGUAAAGCUCUUUCGCCUGUGAUGAUAAUGACAGUAGCAGGUAAAGAAACCCCGGCUAACUCCGUGCCAGCAGCCGCGGUAAUACGGAGGGGGUUAGCGUUGUUCGGAAUUACUGGGCGUAAAGCGCGCGUAGGCGGAUUGGAAAGUUGGGGGUGAAAUCCCGGGGCUCAACCCCGGAACUGCCUCCAAAACUGCCAGUCUAGAGUUCGAGAGAGGUGAGUGGAACUCCAAGUGUAGAGGUGAAAUUCGUAGAUAUUUGGAAGAACACCAGUGGCGAAGGCGGCUCACUGGCUCGAUACUGACGCUGAGGUGCGAAAGUGUGGGGAGCAAACAGGAUUAGAU